rnacentral:tRNA from 2 species
GUGGGUGUAGCUCAGUUGGUUAGAGCAUCGGAUUGUGGUUCCGAGGGUCGAGGGUUCGAGUCCCUUUACCCACCCCA